AGGACUUGGUGGUGCUAAGGAAUGGAGUACUACAAGGACGGACGCCGCUUCCGUUGAACUCAGGUGAGCUUGCGAAUUCGCGAUGGCCUUGGUGAUUUUACUGUUACUGCUACUCUAUUAGUCAUGGAAUUCGGGAGAUCUUGGGUUCGAAUUUUAUUUUCUGGGAUUUUUAUCGGGGUGUAUGCAACUGUAUAACUGUAAAUUGGCUUGCCCCUGGGUGUUCUUGGUUGGUGAUUCGACAAUGAUUUGAAGCGGUCUGGCUUAUCAGCCGGUGGUUAGGUGGAGUCGGGUUAUUAUAGUUUCGGUAUAGGAGGGGGAAAGGUGGCACAAAUCUGGGGGCAGGGCAUGUUUCUGCCUGAUUGAUCCAAUCAUUUUUUUUCUUCUGGUAUCAAUCAAUCAUGCCAGCAUCUGAAACGGAUUAUCAAAUCUGAAUUGGCACUGUUUUUUAUAUAUAAUGAUACCAUACAGCUCGAGAUGAACAUAUGCUUGACUGAAUAGUUGUUCAUACAUCUGGAGGUGUUACUAUGAGUACAAUUACCAUUCAGAAAGAAAGAAACUAUGAGUAAAAUGCAGAGAACGCACUUCCAGACUAUCAAUCAUGCAUGCCCAUAUCAUUUGCUUUGCUUAAUGUUUCUUAGUUUAACUUACUAAUCUCUUGUCUGUGUAAUUUUUGCUGCCAGAAGGGAUCCAAAUAGGUUGCAACUGGGAGUAAAAUAUGUGUCUAAACUGAUUGUCUGGUGCGAAAAUCGACGACCAAGAUCCAGUUAUGUGUAUUGUAGGACAACACCUUUCAUUAGAUACACUUUGAUGCUAUUUCUAGCAUGAAUUUCUAUUUCAGACUUAGAACUAAAAUUCUGAACAACUAAAAUCGCUCUUGUUCCUUAUUUUUGUAGGGCGGUUCCUCUCGUUUUACUGGUUCGUCCGCUCCUUCAUGAUUGAUGUACUGGUUCUGGCCGCUCCUUCGUGAUAGACUCGGUUAACUCUUUGUUGGCCUUGUGGGUCGUAAUUGUUUCUCUCCAUAUGCAUAUACUUCCUGAUGUAUUGCUCAUGCUCAUUCUGUACCGAGAUAGACCUAAUAUCCGUAGGGUUGUAGAUUGAUUUCCCCUGAAAAAGCUAUGCUUCUUUCCUUGGAUGAUAAGCAUGUUCCGCAGCUAUGUGGAAUUCUUAAGAUAAACGGUCUUUAGUUUCUUUUGGUGCAUCUGCGUGCACAUAACAGUCUGUUAGUUUCUCAGUCUGUUAGUUUCUCUUUAUAUAAUGAAAAAAUAUAUGUUGUUGUCGCUUGUUUAUUAUUAUCUAUCAUUUGUAUAUUGAUUUUUAGGCCACCAGUACUUGUAUGUAUAAUUUCUAGUCUCUUGAAUGAAUAAUUUUUCUUUAUGUGCCAUGCGUCUUGUGUUACUACAUACAUCUGUCGUGAAGUACAUGGUUCUGGAACUAUGGUAACCCGUAGUUUGCUCUACCCGUGAUAGUAGGAUGAUGGAAGCAUCACUACUGAAUGUAGUUCAUGUUUCUUCAUAUAAUCAUCAUUUACUAGAGUUUCUCUUCUUCUUGCUACUACUUGGUUUUUGACGCCACUAGCUUGUACUGAAAUGUAAACACAUCAUAUUGUUCUCAUCAGACCAGUGUACCUUGAGCAUGCAAAGUAAACACAUGCUACUCCACUUGUCUAUUUUUACAUAAACUUUUGUUUAAAUAAACCGAGCUAAUAAACCAAACGGUGCAAACACAUUCAGUUCUGAAAUUUGUCUACUCCACUUGUUUGAUUGUACUGAAACCUUUGUUUGCAUGUUUCUAAAAUGCAGAGAAGAACACCCUGUGUUCUGGUAAAAUAUUUGUUUGCUAUGAUAUGAAAUUCCAUGAUGUGUGUGUUGUUUCAGUUUCUGUAGCUACAACAAAGUCCUAGUUUACUCUAUACUUGCUUUUGAUGAUUGCUGGCUAAAUUUACAGUUGAAAUAAUAGUAGCCAAGGAGUAGAUACAAGACGUAUUUACCAUAUUUUGCAUGGAAUGUUAAAAAUCAGUUUUGUUGUGGUUUCUUGUUCUGUGAGUCAAAUUGCAUAAGAUGGGAGUAUCACAACAUGCAUAUACUGAAGCUGGGAGUAUCACAACCUGAAUGUGCAGCUUAUGUAGUUUCUGUAUUUUUGUUAAAGCAUGGAGUAGCUUCUAUAGUUUCUGUAUUUUUGUUAAAGCAUGGAGUAGCUUCUAUAGUUUCUGUAUUUCUGUAUUUUCGUUAAAGCAUGGAGUAGCUUCUAUAGCUUCCUCACAAGUUAAUGCUUUGCUCGUCCGGGUGUGUGAUAAUGCCAUUUGUCUUGUGCAAUCAGAUUACAUUUCUGUUUGUUAUGGUAAUAUAAAAAAUAUUCGUGCUGUCAAAAUUUUCACAGUGCGUGUCUUUCAUUUCUUUAAUUUGAUUGUUUCCCUUGUAUUCAAUAUGCUUCUAGUGGCUGAUCCUUCCAUUUUUGUUGUGGCAUCUUUAUUUUCACAGGUGUUGUGUGUUCUGGAAGAUGGAAGAGGAAGAAAUUGUUGAACUAAAUUUUUUGUAUUCUGUUUUGUUGUAUGUAUCAUUUGAUAGUUUUGUAUAGGAACAAGUGAUACUAUUUUGUAGGGCUUUAUGGCCUAUGAUGUAAACAUAUUUAGUGCUGAAAUAUGAAAUUAUUUGCAAAAUUUGUCAAAAAGGUGGAUCAUAUGUAUGAAUAUGUGAAUGGGCUGAAAAGAGUAAUGGACCAACUCCAGGAUUGAAU
rnacentral:lncRNA from 1 species